rnacentral:rRNA from 1 species
UACAGAGGAUGCAAGCGUUAUCCGGAAUGAUUGGGCGUAAAGCGUCUGUAGGUGGCUUUUUAAGUCCGCCGUCAAAUCCCAGGGCUCAACUCUGGACAGGCGGUGGAAACUACCAAGCUGGAGUACGGUAGGGGCAGAGGGAAUUUCCGGUGGAGCGGUGAAAUGCGUAGAGAUCGGAAAGAACACCGGUGGCGAAGGCGGCUCACUGGACCGAGACUGACGCUGAGGCGCGAAAGCGUGGGGAGCAAACAGG